UACAUUAUGCUGACGUGGAAAAUCCCUCAAGGCCUAUGUGUCCAGAAACUUCCUACGUGGCACAAAUUCAGUGGCUGGCAAGAUGUUAACCAACGUCGUUAAGGAAAUGGUAUGCAUACAUAGCAUUCUGAUCCUCCUCCCCUGCCUUCGGACUUUUAUCUCCGAUGGCCAUUACCGGCUCUACUGACUGGUCACCGCCUCCAGUAAGCUCUAUCAGGUAAUCCCAUCAUCCCAGCCACUAAUCUCGCUCUCUUUUUCUCGAUCUUCGAUCUCUUCAUCUAAAUUCCUCCGGUAGCCUUUCCCCGAUCCCUGAACAAUCCCCCAUUGCCCUAACCGAGAUCGGUUUGGACUCUUCUUCAAGAUUUUAAACUCCCUGAAGGAUUAGAUCUACGAGUAUUACGUGAAAUCGGCAUUGAGGCAUCUAAUCAGCGAAAUUAGGGCGAGUGUUCGAGUCGCUUGAGUUCUUUAGAGAUAUGAGGAAGAAAGGGAUUGAAGAGGAUUAUACCAUUUAGUCGUCUUUGAUAUGCACUUAUGCAAGCAUUUAGGAAGUUCAACUGGCUGAAGAUCUUUACAAUGAGGCAAAAGCCAAGAAGUUUUUGAGAGAUCCUGCAAUGUUUCUAAAGCUCAUAUUGAUGUAUAUUCAACAAGGGUCAUUACAGAAGGCACUUGAGAUUGUGGAAGUGAUGAAGGGCUUUAAAAUUGGAGUGUCUGACUGCAUUUUCUGUGGAAUUGUCAAUGGCUACGCCCGGAGAAGGGGUUAGGGUUUACGAGAAGCUGAUCGGGUGGGAAGUCGAACAAGUGAAAGCCCAAAGAGAACAAUAUUUUAUUACAAAUGGUAGAGCCAGAUACCGAGUGGUGUGGCAAUGAGGACGUUCGGCUCCAAAGAGGCAAAUGGGUGGAGUGUGAGAUUCCACGUUGGCCGAAGAGAAGAACGAAAAAUUUCUUAAGCGGACGUGUUUUAAAAACAAAGGGAAACUUGAAAGGAAAAGCCUAAAAGUGACAAUAUCUGCUAGCGGGGCUUGAGUUAUUACAAUGAGUAUUAAAAGCAGACAACAGGUGGUGUGCCAGAGAGAACGUUGGCUCCCAUGGGAAUGGAUCACGGUAGGCUUAGCUGUUACACCUCAGCGAUCAACGCCUACUGCCAUGUCGGGCUGUACUCGAAAGCAGAAAUGGAGGAGAAGGGGUUUGACAAAUGUGUAGUUGCUUACUCUAGCUUGAUAUCAAUGUAUGGGAAGACAGGGAGGUUAAAAGGUACAAUGAAGCUGAGAGUGUCAAAGAAUAGCUUAAGUGAGCCAAAACGAAGCCAUGAAAGACACCAUUAUAUGAAUAACAUUACAUUAAUCCAAAUCAUAACCAAAGCAAAUGAAACAAAGCCCUUACACAACAC